AUGGCUUUGCUUCCGGUGAAGCCUCUAUCUUUCCACCGCUUUCAGGUUUUCCCCCGGCAUCUUAUUACUCCGGCUGUUUCAACUGUUCCGGGAAUGGUUUCUGCCGGUUUCAAAAGCCAUCAUUUCGUAGGGCUCCCUUCUUAUGAUCUAUGUAUCCAUGAAUCUGUAAGGCAUAUGAGAAGCCUAAGGUCGUGGAGUAAUCGUCGCCGAGUAAGCAGAACCGUCGGCGUGUCUAUGCCGGUGGCUUCGGCUGAGGAUUUACCGGCGGCUUCUUGGGAUUCUUGGAAGCCCGAUAAGACCACGGUGGCUCCGUCACUUAGUGACGUCAUUUGGCCUGCAGCAGGAGCGUUUGCGGCUAUGGCAAUAAUGGGAAGUAUAGAUCAAAUGUUAAACCCUAAAGGGAUCUCAAUGUCGGUUGCACCACUUGGUGCCGUCUCUGCCAUUCUCUUCACCACUCCUUCUGUACCUGCUGCUAGGAAAUACAAUAUAUUCGUGGCUCAAAUAGGUUGUGCAGCCAUUGGAGUAUUGACUUUCUCCAUCUUUGGGCCGGGUUGGCUCUCCCGCAGCAUCGCACUAGCUGCUUCCAUUGCAUUUAUGGUCAUUGCUCGUGCUAGUCAUCCUCCUGCGGCAAGUUUACCACUACUGUUCAUAGACGGGGCAAAGUUACAAAAGUUAAACUUUUGGUACGUAUUAUUCCCCAGUGCAGCGGCUUGCAUCCUCCUCUGCUUCCUCCAAGAGAUCGUGUGCUACUUGAAGAAAAACUUGAAAUUUUGAUGAAUGGAAAAGGACGAAGUCAAGAGUGUUAUAUGCAUGUAUAGACACAUUGGUGGAGGAGUUCAUGUGCAGAUUUUUUUAUAUAUAUUAGACGUUUAUCGAAGAUGGUCGACGUACACAUACAUUAAAAAAAAAUAUACGUACAAAUUAUACAUACUUUCACAAAACUUGUUUUUUCUGGGGGUUUUUACGUUGAGCUCAGAUAUUUUAGUGAAACAAUAUUGCAUAUCAGUACUAUAUAUCAUCAUACAUCUUAGACACAUGGCACGGUAUAAUUAAGAUUGUUUUCUCGAUCUUUACAAAGGUGUUUUAUGGUUCGAUGGAAAAUAUUGUUCUUAUGACGGUGAGUACACACUCCAGAUGUUCAAAGUAGAAAUUCACAGUGGGGUGAUUAUUAGGUUUUUGUGUUUCUUUCAAUACCUAGUCCACUAGUUAGUUAUACAACUAUAUAUUCGCAAAACUUUUGACGAUUAUAUAUCAUUUCACUAUUGGUUACAAUCAUAAGAAUUUUUUACACUUAGAGACACUUUUCCUCAUUCUAAUUACACAUUGUUGACAUGGAUGUUUUUAAUUGAUUAGUUCACAUGUUUGGAAAUUUUGAGGUAUUACAGGAAAAUUCCCGGUUAUCAUAAGAAUAUGAGGAGGUAUUAUUAUAUCUUCCACAUUGCAUUAUUUUAUGUGGUUACAGGGGAAUAUUUAUAUACAUGGUGUUUUGAUUGGUACUAUCAACAUUUCUUAUAUUUUCUACAAAGAAUAUACCUGAACAAGAAAGUUUUGUUUGUUGGUCGUCUUCAGUCAAUAACAAUUUCAUAUCAAUCAAAUAAUCUUUCUCAUUCGAAACUAGCCAUUACCCAAUCUCACCUUACAAGAAUGUAAAUCAUUUAGUCCUAAAUUAGCUUUUUGUAUGACUACUGGAAGCUAUUUAUUUAUGCAUUACAUGUGCCUGAUUUCAUAUAUUUGUAGCUUAUUCCUCUUUUUCCGAACAAGUAGAAGAAGCAAUCGAAAAUAUAUAGUAUUUAGGAUUAAGUGCAAAAUGAUCAUGAUGAUAAGAUAGGAGUUAAUACGUAAAAUGACAUUAGUUUUAGUAAACAAUCAGAUCGUCGUAAAAAAAAACCCCCAUUCAGAUGGAUUAGGUGAGUACACAAAAUACUUGAGAUUGUAAUAAAAGGACGGACUUUAUUCUUAAUUAUUUGCCCUACUACCUCUAUAGUUUAUUCUUAUUUGUCCCACCUAAUAAAUUAUUUAAUUUUCUUUUUCUUUUAAUUACAGAAAUAUCAGUAAAUACUAAACUACCCUUAAUAAAUUUAUAAAACUACAACUAAACCUAAGCUAACCCUCUAACCUAACCAGAGUCUUUUCUUCUCUCCUCUUCCCCUUAGAACACGCGUCCCGACCACCCCGACUGCACUCAUUUUCCUCUUUUCUUUUUGGCGGAAACUCUAAUCGACGAAAUCAUCUUUUCUUCUUGUUCGAAAUCAAUCCGAAAUCAAGUGCGACGAAUCACCUCUCUCUUACAGAAAGCCUUCGAUUUUGUGUGUCUCCUUCAACAGAAGCCUUCGGUUCCAUCUUCCUCAUUCUCGAAAAUCCGGGUAAGUUUUUUCUUUCAUCCUCUUUCUUUUGAGUUCUAUGUUCAUUUGUAAUGUGGGUUCAAAAAUAAUUGGUAAAAAUUUGUGUGUGAAUGGUUAAAUGAUUAUUGGAAUGGGAAAAUAGAAGCGAUUUGAAAGGGAAGCAAUGUGGAUAUUUCUAGAAAUAGGGUUUGAAAGGAAAAAGAUUUAUAUAUGUUGAUUGAAAGUGAUUUGGUCAUAGUUCUUAUUAUUACUAGUGUUUAUGUAAUUGUUUGAGUGAAACUUUGGAAUGUAAGAUAUGAAAUUGAAUGUUGGAUAAGUGAAACAGAAAUAUCCAAAUUGCUUGUCUAUGGUGAUUGAGUGGUUGAGGGUUAAUGAGAUUGAAUGAGUGAGUGUUUGAAUUUGAACAUAUAGAAAUGUGAAAGUGAGUUAGAGAUUAUAUUGAGCUAGUGCUGAAUGUUUGAGCAUAUCUACAAUGAAAAAGUGAUGUUUGCAUUUCAACAUAUGCAGAUUGAAAGCCGGUUUCAAUUAUGAUUGAAUGUUUUUUGUUACAGGAUAUCCAGAAGAUCGAGAUAAUGACAUGAUGAAAGCGUGGAGGAAAGAAAAAUACUAAGCAGAAGAAAGGAAAGUCUACAAAAAGAAACAUUGCUCAUGUAGAAGAAUAACAUGUAGAAGAGCUUUCAACUGGAAAUGAUAGUGAUGAUCUGUCAGCACAUGGAAACGAGACUGAUCAUCCUGCACAGGAGAAUGAGACUGAUCAUCUGUCAGCGACAUCUCAGGUAUUCAUUCCCAAAAUUAUUUCUCUCGUUUUAGUUUUAAAAAAAAGUUAUUGUUGGUGUAUUACUGGUGCGACUAGUAUUACUAGGAAAAAAAAUUAUAUGACCCUUAUUCCUACUGGAAAGAUUAAUAAUUCAUGCUAAUAUAAUUUUAUAUGGUUUUCAGGAAUGCCAACCAUUACCACCUGAUGUGCUAUACUUCAAGAAUACCGAGUUCACCAAGACAUGCAAGAUACAAAGCAAGUGCUAUGGAAGUAACACGGUGGCUAUCAUCAAGAAGCUUCAGCCUGAGUUGGAGUGGUUCGAGAACCACCCUCAAUUUUGUCAUAUUUUUCACAUGCCCGAUGAACCAUACUUGAAGUUGCUGGUUGUGUGGAUGCUUCUAUUGCGAACCAUUCCCUUAAAAGAGGGAGAUGGCACAGCUUGGUUUGCGGUUAAUGGCGUGUCCAUCCGGUAUUCCACCAGAGAGCAUGCACUCAUCAGCUUUGGACUGCGAUGGAUACCCGGAUAAGUAUGAGAAUUUGGGGAGCUAUGAGUCUUUAGAUAGGCAUUUUAUGUCACACAAAGUGAUAACCAUGAAAUCUGUCGAAGAGAAGUUGUUGAGAAUGAGCGCUUGUGGGGAUCGACUUAAGAUGGCGGUGCUUUACUUCUUGGGCACUGCUAUUAGAGGGAGGGGAAGGUAUAAUGCCCCCUUUGCCUCUUUCAUUCUAAGAGUUGUCAACAAUGUGGAGGAUUGUAAAACCAUUCCUUGGGGUUGCUUGACGUUUGAUGAUAAUAUCUAGUCCAUUAAUCACUUGAUGAAGCGUCUCAGGGGGAAAGCUAAGAAGAAUAUCAACUUUAUCUGGUUCAUACUUCUUUAUAUGAGUUUUGUUUUGGCAAAUUUAUGUUUGUAUGGUUGUUUUUUUAUAUAAAAAAAAUUAUAUUUGUAGAUGCUGGCAUUUGAGUGUAUUCUAGCUCUGAAUGCUCAAUUCAGAGAACAUGUAGACGGUUGUAUGAGUAACUGUCCUAGGAUGUGCAAGUGACGGUUCCAAAGUAACAACAUGAAGGGUUAUCCACUUGAGGAUUUGUACAAUGCAUUUGGAGAAACGAAGGUAAUUAAAAGUGUUAUAGCUUCUACUAUUGAUGAAGAAACUCCCAUGGCGCGCAUAAUGGAGGACGAAGCAGACUAUGAAAAUGAAGAAGGACCAAGUAAUUUGUGGAGCUUAUGGCUUACUGUUAAGGAGAAGUCUAUCUGGUGGAAAGAUCUCUAUGAGUUAAAUGUGGCUGCAAGGGAUUUUUCUACGAAGAAAGACAAAAGGAAAGUGAAUGAAAAAGCAUCCUCCUCUAAUGCAAGUUUGGAGGACGUUUUGAAAGGGAUUGAAAAGAGGUUGAUGACAUGUUUGAGCGAAGUGAAUGUGAAGGUGGAGACAAUGAACAAGAGGCUUUGUGUCAUGGAAAAGAGCCAAGUCGUUUAAAAAAGGAGGAGUAAGAGGAUGAAGGCGAUGGAGAAGAGGCUUGAGGACAUUGAUAAUUGCCAAUAUUAUUUAAAAAAUAAUGGCAGGAAGUAGAAGGUGAUGGAAGAGAGGAUUGAUGCCAUUGAGAAAGAGAUGAAGAGGAAGGAGACCGAGAACACUGAGGGUUUUGACUUCCAAAACAUGGAUUUUGACUGGGAUAGAUGACGUUCUGUAGAUGCAGAAAUUGUUGAAAAUAUUGAAGUGGUAGAAGAACCACCAGGUCAGAAAACUGAAGAGACUGAUAAAGAGGAGGAAAACGAGUAGGCUGAGAUCGAGAAAAAUGAGAAAGAUAAUGCAGAAGAGACUCUGAAAGAAAAUACAAGUUCUGAGGAAGAGAAAGAACCUGAAGCUUAAGUUGAAGAAGAUAAAGAAGAUGUGGAAAAAAAAUAACAAGAAGUUAAGGCUGAAACAAAGAAAGUGAAGCUGCUCAGACUUAAGCUGAUGAUGAUGAAGAAGAGGUUGAAAAAGAGGGUAAAAACAAUGCUAAAACUGAACCUCGAGCUGAAAUUGAAGAAGAGGUUCAAAAAGCGAGUGAAGAAGAGGUUCAAAAAGAGGAAGAGCUUAAUGAAGGGAAAGAGAUUGAAGAAGAACCUGAGCAUGCUGACAAAGUUGAGAAAGAAGCUAGGAUAUACAUGGAGGAAGAGAAAAAAAGGUAGAUUCUUACCGUGUGCAAGACUGAUGAUGUUACUGCCGUGGAGAAGACUGAUGGAACCAAGGAAACAUCUAGGACUCCUGCUCAUGGGGUGGUGAAGCAUAGACCUAAGGUAAUGGCGGUGAGAAAACAUGCUCCUAAGAAGAGGGGUAGACCGAGAAAAGCUGAUAAACCACAUAAAUUCACAACGCCACCACCGAUAAAAAGGACUCGUACACCAUCACAGUACGUAACCAGUCCUUUCAUUGAAGCUAAUACCGACGAGGUUGAAGGGCGCAAGAAGAAGCCUAGAACAAAGGCUUAAAAGACUACCAUCAUAAAAUAUUUUGGGUGUUUAAUAUUUAUGUCGGCUUUGUUGUGAACUUACGUAGGAUGCUAUGUUUGUUGGUUGUUAGUCUGUAAAAUUAGAGUGCUAUUUGUUAUGUAAGAUGAUUUGUGUUGUAUGAUUGUCUUGCAGCAGGUUUGGCCAAUAGAGUACAAGGCAGGCUAAGUCCUAAGAAAACAUAUUUGUAAUCCUAGGUGUAUUAAGUAUUACUAAGCCAAAAAUAUUGUUGACACUUUGUAAAAAAAAAAAAACUAUGGCACAUGUCUAGAACGUGUUAUUAAACAAACAUGUUUGAAUAUUAAAAUAAUAUUAAUUUUACACUUAA